GGUCAUGAGUGUCAGCGUCAAGGCCCCGGCCUGCUGGCCGGCAACCCUCGUGCGUCCGCGGUGGGGUGCCUCCGGGUGAGGACCAGGCCGCCGGCGUCCGCCGGAGAGGCAAGCGCGGACC
rnacentral:ncRNA from 2 species